rnacentral:rRNA from 1 species
CGGUAAUACGGAGGAUGCAAGCGUUAUCCGGAUUCAUUGGGUUUAAAGGGUGCGUAGGCGGAUUGGUAAGUCAGUGGUGAAAUCCUCUCGCUUAACGGGAGAAUUGCCGUUGAUACUAUCAAUCUUGAGUACACUUGAAGUGGNCGGAAUGUGUCAUGUACCGGUGAAAUGCAUAGAUAUGACACAGAACACCGAUUGCGAAGGCAGCUCACUAAAUUGUAACUGACGCUGAGGCACGAAAGCGUGGGGAGCAAACAGGAUUAGAUACCCUGGUAGUCCACGCUGUAAACGAUGAUCACUAGCUGUUGGCGAUACACUGUCAGCGGCUGAGCGAAAGUAUUAAGUGAUCCACCUGGGGAGUACGAUCGCAAGGUUGAAACUCAAAGGAAUUGACGGGGGCCCGCACAAGCGGAGGAGCAUGUGGUUUAAUUCGAUGAUACGCGAGGAACCUCACCUAGGCUUAAAUGCUUUUUGACCGUCCUGGAAACAGGAUUUCCCUUCGGGGCAAAUUGCAAGGUGCUGCAUGGUUGUCGUCAGCUCGUGCCGUGAGGUGUCGGGUUAAGUCCCAUAACGAGCGCAACCCCUAUUCUUAGUUGCCAUCAGGUAAUGCUGGGAACUCUAAGGAAACUGCCUACGCAAGUAGUGAGGAAGGUGGGGAUGACGUCAAAUCAGCACGGCCCUUACGCCUAGGGCUACACACGUGCUACAAUGGCCAGCAUAAUGGGUUGCUACCUGGUAACAGGAUGCUAAUCUCUAAAUCUGGUCUCAGUUCGGAUUGAAGUCUGCAACUCGACUUCAUGAAGUUGGAUUCGCUAGUAAUCGCGCAUCAGCAAUGGCGCGGUGAUACGUUCCCGGGCAUUGUACACACCGCCCGUCAAGCCAUGGAAGCUGGGAGUGCACUGAAGUCUGUAACCGCAAGGAGCGGCCACUAGGUAAACCAUAACUGGGCUAAGUCGUCACAAG